ACGUGUGGCACAGCCAACCGGCCACACGCCAGCGCCUCUCCCUCCUCCUCUCCACACACCCCAUACACCAGCCAUGGCCUUCGCGGGGUGGCUUUGGCAACUCCAAGCUUCCUUUACUGGCCAGAAUGCCCUUCUGGAAUGAUGAGCAUCAGUUCCCCAAAGACAAGGUGGCGGACACCCCUCCCCUGAGUGAACACUCCUGACAUCAGGGCUCCUACAACUGCCUCGUCCCAGCCAAUCUGAUCAGCAAAAGCUUUCCCCUCUGUUGACUCCAAUACCUGCCCGGCAUCAGCUCCCGAGUGGGCCAAAGGGGUGCCCCUCUCACUCCAGAUGUUGCUCCGCAGGAUUGGGGGAAGAAGGGAGCCUAUGAAGCAAUGAGCUCAAUGGCAAAGACAAAAGCCCCACUCAAGGGCAGGAAGAUCCGGGGGAAGGAGCAGGGUCCUGCCAAGGCGGAUUUCUCCCUGCAGGUGCUACGGGGCACCUUCCUCACAGAGCUGGGCCAGAUGGUGCAGACCAGAAGCUGGCCGAGGGGAGAAAGCCUCUCCAGAGAGCGAGCAAGGAAGGAAGAGGAGAUGGCCC